rfam:Ictidomys tridecemlineatus contig091240, whole genome shotgun sequence.
CCAAAGGCUCUUUUCAGAGCCACUCAAAUCUCAAAUGAGAGCUCU